rnacentral:lncRNA from 1 species
AGUCUCGGGAGGACUCCAGAGCCCCGAAUCUUUGACUGCUGCUCAGCCGUGGCUCCUGGGUGCUCCAGACCUGUGCAUGUGUCCCUGGGGACGCUGUGGGGUGGGCUGGGUUUUGGCUGGGGGUCCUCUUGCCACCAGUGCCCAGGGAGAUGAGAGCUGGCAGCGCCGUUUCUUUUCGGGCCCUCUCAAUGCUGCUGGGACUUGCUCCACCAUGUUCCCACCUUGUUCCCACAGCUCACUGCCGACACCACAGAGCACAGCCAGGAGCAGAAGGCAGAGCUGAGCCAGUGCCUCCUGCUGCAAGGUAAGGAGAGGAGCUGUGGCGCUGCCCCGUGGUGUCCCAGCAGCUCUCUCCCAAACCUGCUUGCUAAUGCAGGAUGGGAUUUCCUCCCCACAGCUCGCAUCUGCCCAGAGGAGACGAUCCCGUUCCUGGAGUCCCAGCUGGGCCACGAGAGGGAGGCCGUGCGCGUGGCAGCCCUGGGUCUGCUCGGUGCUCUGGCACGCUGUGACGGUCAGUACUGCGGGGUCAGGGCUUGGAGGGCUCUCUUCCGCCCUCUGGGCUGUGCCUCCACACAUGCCUCACUGGCUCUCUUGCAGAGCCCACGAUGGCAGAGAAGCUGCCCCAGGUGGUGGAGGCUGUCAAGCGUGUGUGCAGGGACCCCAGCAUCCGGGUGAGGAGGGCAGUUCUGCACUUCAUCAGGGAGCUGCUCAGUGCCAAUGCCCAGAGCUGAUCAGCGUGGGACGUUGUGGGCUACAUCUUCAGCGAGUUCAGCCAGAGCUCGAGCAAGAAGGGUAAGGAGAGCGUGCAACAUCUUCCCUGGGGAGAUCUGCUGCCAGGAGGCUGGCAUGGGAGCCUGCUGGGGCCACGCCUGAGCCUUCUGGGGCAGGAACUGAGAGCAAGCGGGGCGGGGGGUUCCCAAUGUUGUCUUGCAGGCUGCGGGACUCCUGUCUGCCCAGGAAGAAGGAGCUCUCCGAGGGCUGUGCAUGGACGUCCUGGGGUCCCUGGACAUCUCUGUGAGAGGGAUGGCCAAAGUAAGUCCUCCUCUGUCCUGCUGCUGCUGCUGCUCCUCUCCUCUCUUCAGGCCAUUUGUUCCUGGCCCCCUUUGCACACUUGAAAGCUCCCCCCCAGCAUGCCACGGGGCCCCCGCCCACGUGCGGG